rnacentral:rRNA from 1 species
UAAUACGAAGGUCCCUAGCGUUGUUCGGAAUCAUUGGGCGUAAAGCGCACGUAGGUGGUUUUGCAAGUCAGGUGUGAAAGCCCCGAGCUCAACUUGGGAAGUGCACUUGAAACUGCAAAACUUGAGUACGGAAGAGGUAAGUGGAAUUCCUGGUGUAGUGGUGAAAUACGUAGAUAUCAGGAGGAACAUCGGUGGCGAAGGCGGCUUACUGGUCCAGUACUGACACUGAGGUGCGAAAGCAUGGGGAUCAAACAGG